UGGGGAAUAUUGGACAAUGGGCGCAAGCCUGAUCCAGCCAUGCCGCGUGUGUGAAGAAGGCCUUCGGGUUGUAAAGCACUUUUGUCCGGAAAGAAAAGCUUAGGGUUAAUAACCUUGAGUCAUGACGGUACCGGAAGAAUAAGCACCGGCUAACUUCGUGCCAGCAGCCGCGGUAAUACGAAGGGUGCAAGCGUUACUCGGAAUUACUGGGCGUAAAGCGUGCGUAGGUGGUUUGUUAAGUCUGAUGUGAAAGCCCUGGGCUCGACCUGGGAAUGGCAUUGGAAACUGGCUUACUAGAGUGCGGUAGAGGGUAGCGGAAUUCCCGGUGUAGCAGUGAAAUGCGUAGAUAUCGGGAGGAACAUCUGUGGCGAAGGCGGCUACCUGGACCAGCACUGACACUGAGGCACGAAAGCGUGGGGAGCAAACAGGAUUAGAUACCCUGGUAGUCCACGCCCUAAACGAUGCGAACUGGAUGUUGGGGGCAACUUGGCCCUCAGUAUCGAAGCUAACGCGUUAAGUUCGCCGCCUGGGAAGUACGGUCGCAAGACUGAAACUCAAAUGAAUUGACGG
rnacentral:rRNA from 1 species